UACGUAGGGUGCAAGCGUUGUCCGGAAUUAUUGGGCGUAAAGAGCUCGUAGGCGGUUUGUCGCGUCUGCCGUGAAAGUCCGGGGCUCAACUCCGGAUCUGCGGUGGGUACGGGCAGACUAGAGUGAUGUAGGGGAGACUGGAAUUCCUGGUGUAGCGGUGAAAUGCGCAGAUAUCAGGAGGAACACCGAUGGCGAAGGCAGGUCUCUGGGCAGUAACUGACGCUGAGGAGCGAAAGCAUGGGGAGCGAACAGG
rnacentral:rRNA from 1 species